rnacentral:lncRNA from 1 species
AGCUAAACAAUAUUAGUAACAGAAACCUUAUUAGACUUAUAAACAAGAAUUUACUCUAUAGAGUUGAAAACCAAGAAAGAAAGUUUUUUACAGAUGUAUAAACUUGUAAUUAAUAAAGAACUAGACUUCAAGAUGAUGACUGAUUCCUUUGCCUGCGAAUUCGUUCCCCCCAUGAAAUAUUAUCACACGAGUUCUUAUACAUA